rfam:Salmo salar isolate Sally breed double haploid chromosome ssa05, whole genome shotgun sequence.
UGUAUUCACUAUUGUAAGUCGCUCUGGAUAAGAGUGUCUGCUAAAUGACUAAAA